rnacentral:lncRNA from 1 species
UUUUGCUUUACCUAAGAUAUUCUAAGGUGUUCCUACACUUGCUUUCAUUGUUCAUCAGCAGGUAGCAUAUGAGUAAACAGAAAGCACACAGGAAAUAUUGCUAUCCUUCUGUUGUUAUUACAAAUUUGAUUUGGCGUGUUAAUAACGUGACUGUCAAAGCUGUUUAUAUUUAAAUGUUCAGUGAAGAUAAUCAUCACUAUAGAGUUUGGGCUCAGAAAAGGGUGAUAUCUUCCUCCAGAAGCAAAUCUGUGAUGGAAAUUUCCAUGCAGAUCACUUGACAGGAGAUUACAAGUUUUUCUGCAGGCCAGAUACAGACUGAGAGAUACAGAACAUGCAGAUGCUUUCAUCUUGGAGUUGCCAAAUGUACUGCAGUUCCUUUUUGCUUUCUUACUCAAAACCCACUCAAAAGUGGGUCAUACCCAAUUUUGCUUCAGUAAAAGCAUUUAAGUAACAAAAUAUGCAUUGGAUUCUGGAAAAUACAUACCGAGUCAUGCACAGAGCUCCACAGGGCUAUGUGAAGAAGGCUUCCAAAGGAGAGAUCACGUCUAGAACCCUCCUGUAGAUGGAUCACAGGCUGUUGGGCAUGUUGAAAAUGCUGUUGCGUUGGCAGACAAGCUUUGGCAAGCUGCUUCAUAGAGGCUGAAAGGAGGUUUUGCUUCCAGCUCCACUCCUCUGCUGGAAUUACUGUCUGCACAGUAAUGGGGGAAUGCAGACCUUUGACUUAGCAGCUCUGGUGCAAAGGGUAAAACAUUCACCUUUGCUAAAGGUUAAAACUGAAAUGCUUUUCUGGAAGCAUAGGUGAAUUUGCACUAAAACAUCAAACUGAGUAGAAGAAAGAGAAGCACUUGAUUCCUCCUGCUGCUCUGGUGGUUGGGAAGAUGGGAUGGAAAAGGUGAGCGGCCUUCCAUGAGGUGCAGCACAGAAGGGAGCCUACUAGAUCCAUGGAUCAGGCAUGUAACAACCUUACAGUGACUGAAGUUCUGAAGUUCAAAGGGCUUUAGUUUUGUUUGUUUUCUAAUAUUUUGUCUAAACAUUAGGAUCAAAUGUGACAUAAUUAUUAAAAUGCUUCUGAUUUACUGAAUUUAAAGUCUCUACUCUUCUUGCUUUUUCAAUUUUUAAUAAUGCAUUAUCCAGUUUGCUUGUUAAGAGGACAUAUCUACUGCUCAGUUAUUGCUCUUCUGAUGCACAGAAACUUUUACGUACGC